UGUAGGAGUGAGCCUGCUCGCGAUAGCGGUAUGCCUGCUAUAUAAGUUUUGCUGACACGACGCCAUCGCGAGCAGGCUCACUCCUACA
rnacentral:misc_RNA from 1 species